rnacentral:piRNA from 1 species
UACAGGUUAGGUGAUCCUUCCUCAGAUA